GUUGCUUAGGAAAUGAAUAGAAGUUCAGCCCCCUGGCCUUCUUAGGACCUCAAGGUAAAACUAACCUUGUCCCAAAGAAACCAAGAGAGUUAAUCAAAGGAGGUACAGCUCCUUUGAACAAGGACACAACCUUAACAGGCGGCUAAGGAUCAUAAUUACUAAGGCAACCUGUUACAGUGGGCCUAAGAGCAGCCACCUGCAUAGAAAGCGUUAAAGCUCAGACAGAUAUAAGCCUCUUAUCCUGAUAAAAAAUCCUACCCCCCUAACCGUACUAAGCCGUUCCAUGCUCACAUGGAAGCGAUUAUGCUAGAAUGAGUAAUAAGAGAGGACAACUCUCUCCCAGCACAUGUGUAAGUCGGACCGGACCCACCACCGACAAAUAACGAACCCAAGCCAAGAGGGAACUGUAGCCCAGAACAAAUACCGAGAAAAACCUACAUCAACAAAUCGUUAACCCCACACAGGAGUGCUCACAGGGAAAGACCUAAAGGAAGAGAAGGAACUCGGCAAACACAAGCCUCGCCUGUUUACCAAAAACAUCGCCUCUUGUAAAUCAAAACAUAAGAGGUCCCGCCUGCCCUGUGACUAUGGGUUUAACGGCCGCGGUAUUUUG
rnacentral:rRNA from 1 species